rnacentral:rRNA from 1 species
AUUGAACGCUGGCGGCAGGCCUAACACAUGCAAGUCGAGCGGAGCGGCGGACGGGUGAGUAAUGCCUAGGUAUCUGCCUGGUAGUGGGGGAUAACGUCCGGACACGGGCGCUAAUACCGCAUACUAUCAGAUGAGCGUAGGUCGGAUUAGCUAGUUGGUGGGGUAAAGGCCUACCAAGGCGACGAUCCGUAACUGGUCUGAGAGGAUGAUCAGUCACACUGGAACUGAGACACGGUCCAGACGCCUACGGGGGGCAGCAGUGGGGAAUAUUGGACAAUGGGCGAAAGCGUGAUCCAGCGAUGCCGCGUGCGGGAAGACGGCCUUCGGGUUGUAAACCGCUUUCAGCCAUGACGCGUUAGUGGCAGAAGAAGCACCGGCUAACUACGUGCCAGCAGCCGCGGUAAUUC